rnacentral:rRNA from 1 species
UACGAAGGGGGCUAGCGUUGCUCGGAAUCACUGGGCGUAAAGCGCACGUAGGCGGAUUCUUAAGUCGGUGGUGAAAUCCUGGAGCUCAACUCCAGAACUGCCUUCGAUACUGAGAGUCUCGAGUCCGAGAGAGGUGAGUGGAACUGCGAGUGUAGAGGUGAAAUUCGUAGAUAUUCGCAAGAACACCAGUGGCGAAGGCGGCUCACUGGCUCGGUACUGACGCUGAGGUGCGAAAGCGUGGGGAGCAAACAGG